GUACUUCUGAGCAAUGAUAACAAUACAAUACCUACAUCAGUUAAUCAUUCUAUAAAAUAUUUUAUUUUAUGCAAAGGAAUAUCAUAGUGACCUUUUUAUUUGGUUCUACAAUAGUUGAGAAACAAUUCAGUGGUCAACUUGUGAAUUGGAGAUCUUCGCUACAUAACAAUCACCAGAUAUACAGAUGUUAGACUUGGUUAGAUGACAUACAGCUAAUGACAAACUUAAACAGCUAUUUAAAAUGCCAGACAAGAAGGGAAGAUCAGGUAAAAGGUGACGUUUAAAACUAUAGACCUGGGAAGAAAUGGCAAGAGCUAGCAAUGGAUACAGAAGAAUGGAAGGAAAUAUGCUAAGGAAAUAGAUAAAAAAACAAAAUUAAAGAACUGAUUAAAAUCAAAUGGCAAACACACUGGCUCGAACAAAUCACUAAAUUAAGAAAAAUUAAAAACUUCAUCUUCAGUUGGCCUAACUCCCUAACGAUAAGAAGAGAAAAAGUAAUAAUAAACUCCGCCUCGGACACACCGAAUACUCGACUAACACAUCUCAUGGCAAAGGAUAAAAAACCAAUGUGCACCACCUGUGGUACCUACCGAACCAUCAGUCAAUCAUAUCCUUACAGAAUGCCUCCAGUACACAUAGGAACUCAAUAAACUCAACAUCUCCAACACCCUAGAUGCAGCACUCAGACCGAACACAGACACCACCUACCAAUUUUUAACUUUUUUAAGAAAAUCUGAAUUGUUCGAUUUAAUUUAAAUAUUAUAAUUAAGAAUACGAGUAUACAUAAGAAAAAAUAAUUGUAAUUAAUAUAACAGCAACAACUAAUGACCGUAUUGUCGCUGAUGUUUUUUUUAGGUUAA